rnacentral:tmRNA from 1 species
GGGGAUGUUCCGGUUUCGACAGGAAUGAUUUACUAAUAUUGGCAGUAGUUUGGCAGACUAUAAUGCUACUAGGUUUGAAGAAACGCAAACAAAAAACAAAAAAGAAGACAAAAUUAAAAUUCCAGUUUCGUUGAUGAACAAUCAACUACCAGGUUCAAUGUUAGCAGCUUAAUUCCUCGUUGUUAGAGGAUUGCUAGCCGUAAUAAUAGUUAAUUAUAGAUUAUUAACUAUUAUCGUAUCUCAAGUCUUAAUCUAAUAAAAAUUCUAAUUGAUAAUGUUAGAAUUUUGAAAAUCUUAUUAUCUAGUUAUUUAAUUAGUUGUCUAGUCCUAUUAUUAAAUAAUGAAAGAAAGAUGAUUAGACUAAACUGUAGAAGGUAUUAGAACAUUAUUUGUGGACGCGGGUUCAAUUCCCGCCAUCUCCACCA